rnacentral:lncRNA from 1 species
UGGAUUGUUUUCUUGCUGGCAGCUUCUGGUAAAUGUGGAAAACAAAAUCAGUGGUUAUGUAAUGCCUGGAGAGGAAAGAGAGCCUGCUUUGAACUGACAACAGCCUUGUCAGCUUGAAUGCUGAAGCUAGAAAUAUCCUGUCAGAAAUAUCAUCUUUAACAUUGGAGCCCUUCGCUCUGGGAAGGGGAGGAACCAGACACUUUGGCAUACAACCGCCGUGCAAUGGUGCAGGACCACUGGCAACAGAAGAUAUCGGACUAGAGAAGAGACCUAAAAGACAACGUUGGGCAGAUACCUGAGAAUCAAGAAGGGCAUACAAAGUUGGAGAUGAAACAUCUAUGUCUAAACCUCAUCUUACUGGAGUUACUGUGGUGAGGGGUACUUAACACUUUUCUUUCACUGCUGCUUCACAUAACUAAUCUUCAUCUGUUCAGGGGUUGACAAUGAAAUAUUCCUUCCUUUCUGCUUCUCAGAAGUGCAUCUGCCCCUAGUGUAGACACCGGUAGCUGUUACGGCAGCUGUAACAAGCCCCAGGGAGCACACCAGGUCUGUCCUUCCUUUUCUUAUACUUUUACCUGAAGGAGCAUAGGGUGGUCGGAGCACUCCAGUCGACUUCUGUGCAGCUGUGUUCCAAAGGCAAUGUCUAAUCUGAAGUGAAAAGUUUUGCGUUUUUCUAGAAAGAUUCUCGCUGAUGGAAAAGUUGAGAGCUCACAAUUUUGUACAGCUCAGUGUGAUAUGGUGAGAGUGGUUUGGUGCCAGGAC